UACGUAGGGCGCAAGCGUUGUCCGGAUUUAUUGGGCGUAAAGAGCUCGUAGGCGGUUCAGCAAGUCGGGUGUGAAAACUCUGGGCUCAACCCAGAGACGCCACCCGAUACUGCUGUGACUAGAGUCCGGUAGGGGAGUGGGGAAUUCCUGGUGUAGCGGUGAAAUGCACAGAUAUCAGGAGGAACACCGAUGGCGAAGGCAGGUCUCUGGGCCAUUAACGUGACGCUGAGGAGCGAAAGCAUGGGGAAGCGAACGA
rnacentral:rRNA from 1 species